UUUCUAUUUGACCCUGGUAGAAAGUAGAAAUGUGAUUAGUAGAGCUACAUACGGAUAUUAUAUGGUUGAUUAAGUGUAAAUUAAAAAUUUUUAAUUAGUAGUAGUUAGGACUGUUAGUAUAAAGAGAUUUAAUGAUGGUUACUAGUCGUUAGAAGAGGCUAAGUCACAGUGCCAG
rnacentral:rRNA from 1 species